AUACAGGGGGAUAACGAUUGGAAACGAUUGCUAAUACCGCAUAAGCGCACAGUACCACAUGGUGCAGUGUGAAAAACUCCGGUGGUAUGAGAUGGACCCGCGUCUGAUUAGCUAGUUGGUGAGGUAACGGCCCACCAAGGCAACGAUCAGUAGCCGACCUGAGAGGGUGACCGGCCACAUUGGGACUGAGACACGGCCCAGACUCCUACGGGAGGCAGCAGUGGGGGAUAUUGCACAAUGGAGGAAACUCUGAUGCAGCGACGCCGCGUGAGUGAAGAAGUAUUUCGGUAUGUAAAGCUCUAUCAGCAGGGAAGAAAAUGACGGUACCUGACUAAGAAGCCCCGGCUAACUACGUGCCAGCAGCCGCGGUAAUACGUAGGGGGCAAGCGUUAUCCGGAUUUACUGGGUGUAAAGGGAGCGUAGACGGCGAUGCAAGUCUGAAGUGAAAUACCCGGGCUCAACCUGGGAACUGCUUUGGAAACUGUAUGGCUAGAGUGCUGGAGAGGUAA
rnacentral:rRNA from 1 species